rnacentral:rRNA from 1 species
CAAGUCCCUUGGAACAGGGCGUCAUAGAGGGUGAGAAUCCCGUCUUUGACACGGACUCCCGGUGCUCUGCGAUGCGCUCUCGAAGAGUCGAGUUGUUUGGGAAUGCAGCUCAAAAUGGGUGGUAAAUUCCAUCUAAAGCUAAAUAUUGGCGAGAGACCGAUAGCGAACAAGUACCGUGAGGGAAAGAUGAAAAGCACUUUGGAAAGAGAGUAAAACAGUACGUGAAAUUGUUGAAAGGGAAACGCUUGAAGUCAGUCGCGUCUUCUGGGACUCAGCCUUGCUUCUGCUCGGCGCACUUCCCAGUUUGACGGGUCAGCAUCGGCUCUGGGGGGCGGACAAAGGCGUGGGGAAGGUGGCAGCUCCGGCUGUGUUAUAGCCCCGCGCUACGCGUCCCCCGGGACCGAGGAAUCCGGCGCUCGCGCCUGGGAUGCUGGCGUAAUGGCUUUAAACGACCCGUCUUGAAACACGGACCAAGGAGUGCUACAUGCUCGCGAGUGUUUGGGUGGAAAACCCGAGCGCGAAAUGAAAGUGAAAGUCGAGACCCUUUGCGGGGGCACCGACGCCCGAGCCUGAUGUUUUCGGACGGCCUUGCGGUAGAGCGAGUAUGUUGCGACCCGAAAGAUGGUGAACUAUUCCUGAGGAGGGCGAAGCCAGAGGAAACUCUGGUGGAGGCUCGUAGCGGUUCUGACGUGCAAAUCGAUCGCAGGACUUGGGUA